rnacentral:rRNA from 1 species
GACACGGCCCAAACUCCUACGGGAGGCAGCAGUGGGGAAUAUUGCACAAUGGGGGAAACCCUGAUGCAGCGACGCCGCGUGAGCGAAGAAGUAUUUCGGUAUGUAAAGCUCUAUCAGCAGGGAAGAAGAAAUGACGGUACCUGACUAAGAAGCACCGGCUAAAUACGUGCCAGCAGCCGCGGUAAUACGUAUGGUGCAAGCGUUAUCCGGAUUUACUGGGUGUAAAGGGAGCGCAGGCGGUACGGCAAGUCUGAUGUGAAAGCCCGGGGCUCAACCCCGGUACUGCAUUGGAAACUGUCGGACUAGAGUGUCGGAGGGGUAAGUGGAAUUCCUAGUGUAGCGGUGAAAUGCGUAGAUAUUAGGAGGAACACCAGUGGCGAAGGCGGCUUACUGGACGAUUACUGACGCUGAGGCUCGAAAGCGUGGGGAGCAAA